UACGGAGGGUGCAAACGUUGCUCGGAAUCAUUGGGCGUAAAGCGCACGUAGGCGGUUCAGUAUGUCGGGUGUGAAAGCCCUCGGCUUAACCGAGGAAGUGCAUUCGAAACUGCUGGACUUGAAUACUGGAGAGGAUCGCGGAAUUCCCGGUGUAGAGGUGAAAUUCGUAGAUAUCGGGAGGAACACCAGUGGCGAAGGCGGCGAUCUGGACAGAUAUUGACGCUGAGGUGCGAAAGCCAGGGGAGCAAACGGG
rnacentral:rRNA from 1 species